rnacentral:rRNA from 1 species
UGGUUGGUACACGAGUUGCCAAGCCUGCGAAGGUGAGCUAAUCUCUUAAAGUCCGUCUCAGUUCGGAUUGGAGGCUGCAACUCCCCUGCAUGAAGUCGGAGUCGCUAGUAAUCGCGGAUCAGCACGCCGCGGUGAAUACGUUCCCGGGUCUUGUACACACCGCCCGUCACACCAUGAGAGUUUGUAAUGCCCAAAGCCGGUGACCUAACCUUCAGGAGGGAGCCAGGGAGGACAAAUGACUGGGGUGAAAUCUAACCAGGUAACCGUAAGAGAACCUGCGGUUGGAUCACCUCCU